rnacentral:rRNA from 1 species
AUUGAACGCUGGCGGAAUGCUUUACACAUGCAAGUCGAGCGGCAGCACGGGGCAACCUGGUGGCGAGUGGCGAACGGGUGAGUAAUAUAUCGGAACGUGCCCAAUCGUGGGGGAUAACGUAGCGAAAGUUACGCUAAUACCGCAUAUUCUGUGAGCAGGAAAGCAGGGGAUCGCAAGACCUUGCGCUGAUUGAGCGGCCGAUGUCAGAUUAGCUAGUUGGUGAGGUAAAGGCUCACCAAGGCGACGAUCUGUAGCGGGUCUGAGAGGAUGAUCCGCCACACUGGAACUGAGACACGGUCCAGACUCCUACGGGAGGCAGCAGUGGGGAAUUUUGGACAAUGGGGGCAACCCUGAUCCAGCCAUGCCGCGUGAGUGAAGAAGGCCUUCGGGUUGUAAAGCUCUUUCGGCCGGGAAGAAUCGCAUGGGUUAAUACCCUGUGCGGAUGACGGUACCGGCAUAAGAAGCACCGGCUAACUACGUGCCACG